rnacentral:snRNA from 1 species
AGAUGUGAGGGCAAUCUGGAUGCAACAUCUGUCUCCCCAUUGAUAGCCAGGGGUGAUUCGACUGAUCUGGCUGGCUAGGCGGGUGUCCCCUUCCUCCCUCACCGCUCCAUGUGCGUCCCUCCCGAAGCUGCGCGCUCGGUCGAAGAGGACGACCAUCCCCGAUAGAGGAGGACCGUUCUUCUCGGUCAAGGGUAUACGAGUAGCUGCGCUCCCCUGCUAGAACCUCCAAACAAGCUCUCAAGGUCCAUUUGUAGGAGAACGUAGGGUAGUCAAGCUUCCAAGACUCCAGACACAUCCAAAUGAGGCGCUGCAUGUGGCAGUCUGCCUUUCUUU